AAGUCGUAACAAGGUUUCCGUAGGUGAACCUGCGGAAGGAUCAUUAAAGAUUCUUCGGAUGUGCGCUCCGGCUGCACUCCGAAUCCAAUUCACACACCGUGCGCCUCGAGCGGGGAGACCCGCUCGCCUUUACAUCACACAACCAAACCAGAAUGUUCAAUACCAUAAUUAAUACAACUUUCAACAACGGAUCUCUUGGCUCUC
rnacentral:misc_RNA from 1 species